UUAGCAUAUGGAUUUUAGACAGAGCUUUUCAGUAAGGGAGCAGCUACUACCAUGCUGACUAUCAGCCUGCUGGAAGAAGCUGUCACUUCCAUCUGUCUUGGAACCAGUAUGGCCCAGAAAGUAACUCAGGUUCUAAUUGCAAUUUCUGUGGUUGAGAAGGAGGCUAUGAUUUUGGACUGUGUAUAUGAAACCCAUGAUACUAUUUACUACAUAUUCUGGUACAAAGGACCACCAAGUGGGGAAAUGGUCUUCUUAAUUUGCCAGGAAUUUUACAAUGAGCAAAACAGUGUGAAUUUCCAGAAGUCAACCAGUUUCAUUGGCCUCACCAUCACAGCUGCACAGCUGGAAGACUUGACUGUGUAUUUCUGCUCACUGAGAGGGGCCACAGUGAGAGUGGAACAUGCAAGAACCCCACACCAACCUUAAGGAGAGCUGAGGAUACUCCACCACAGAUGGGAAGAAGAAGGGCUGUGUGGACAGGUGGAUUUGUAAGGAAACUGUAGCUCAAUUCAUGUAGAUGUCUAGAUACAUUAUUUUAGAAGCACAUACACCCUCUAUUCUUUAUAAUGCAUUGAGAAAAAAAAUAUAUAGCACAUGUAAAAAUUAUGGAUAAAUGCGAUUUAACAAAACCUAUUAAUCUUUGGUUGAUUACAUUGAGGUGGGAAAAAUAUCAAAUUAUCCUAGACCAAAUGGGUACUUCUAUUGAUGAGUUGCAAGUUUUUCAGAA